rnacentral:rRNA from 1 species
UACGAAGGGGGCUAGCGUUGCUCGGAAUCACUGGGCGUAAAGGGCUCGUAGGCGGCCAACUAAGUCGGACGUGAAAUCCCUCAGCUUAACUGGGGAACUGCGUCCGAUACUGGAUGGCUUGGAUUUGGGAGAGGGAUGCGGAAUUCCAGGUGUAGCGGUGAAAUGCGUAGAUAUCUGGAGGAACACCGGUGGCGAAGGCGGCAUCCUGGACCAAUAUUGACGCUGAGGAGCGAAAGCCAGGGGAGCAAACGGG